CACAUUUCGUUUCUACCAUCAUGGAUCGUAAUUUGUUGACCAAAAUUCCUAUUCCUAAUUGAACUGAAUCCUCGUAGUUUGAUAUUAACGACCGGAGAUCAACCCUUGAAGGGAUUCAGUGUUCUCCUAAAAGCAAAACUCCGGUAGUGUUAGAUCAGGGAUUUGAAGUGUCCUCUCAAGUCAAUUGGAAAAGGUGGAAAAUGCAUGAGAGACACAAAGUAGCGACGCUUUAGGUGUUUCAAGCUCAUAUUCAAUCAAUUUCAUGGCAAAAUUGGAGAGUUCAAAGCUCAAUUCGCAAACCCUAACUUCGUUCAUUCAUGAUUCGGCGAACGACUAAGAUUUUGAUGUGCACUCAUGUUCUCUUGAGAAAUUUAAACUCUAUGAAACUCGUCAAAGGUUUUAUCUCAUUGGGAGCGACAGAAACAAACAAUUCUUUUGAGUUUUGAAAACAGAUAGAUGUGAGCCUUUGGAACUCAAUAUCAGUGAAGAUACGGUUGUCUACUCACAACAUGAAGUUAAGAGCUUUCUUCAACGCAUCAACAAAGGCAACCGCACCACUAGAGGCCUCACAUUUGUUGCCAAGGUCUUUGGGAUUGCAGACUCCAUUAUCUAGAAAAGGGACGGCUACUUCUUGUCAUAGACCUAAGGAUAUGACUAAGAUUUUUUUGAAGAGUUUAAGGAAGCAAGAAAUUGUGGCCAAAGCAGUUGUUAUAAGCAAAGACCUGUGUAAAAAAGUAGUAUUUGUGAGGAGCCUUUAAUAAGACCUCAUGGAUGUCAUAAGACAAUUGGAACAUCUGUUGGAACUACUAUUGCUUGGCCUUCGUUUUUGGUUGUAGAGGAAGAAAGGAUUGGAUGAAGACUACAAAUAGCUUUUUUUUUUUUUGAGAUGUUAAAAGGAAUUUCUUUUGGACUACUAUAUAUUUGAUUUGUAGGUUGUUAAAAAAAGAAGACAUCUGCUCAAAAGGAAGAAUGAAUAUAAUGAGGGUUGAAUGUUGUGUUUUUUUUUUUUUUUUGUUCUUACAAUGAUGAUAAAAGUCAAUUGG